rnacentral:rRNA from 2 species
GGUUAAGCGACUAAGCGUACACGGUGGAUGCCCUGGCAGUCAGAGGCGAUGAAGGACGUGCUAAUCUGCGAAAAGCGCCGGCGAGGUGAUAUGAACCCUUGACCCGGCGAUGUCCGAAUGGGGAAACCCAGUGCAAUUCGUUGCACUAUCGUUAACUGAAUACAUAGGUUAACGAGGCGAACCGGGGGAACUGAAACAUCUAAGUACCCCGAGGAAAAGAAAUCAACCGAGAUUCCCCCAGUAGCGGCGAGCGAACGGGGAGCAGCCCGGAGUCUGAAUCAGCUUGUGUGUUAGUGGAACGGUCUGGAAAGUCCGACGGUACAGGGUGAUAGUCCCGUACACGAAAACACACUUGCUGUGAACUCGAAGAGUAGGGCGGGACACGUGGUAUCCUGUCUGAAUAUGGGGGGACCAUCCUCCAAGGCUAAAUACUCCUGACUGACCGAUAGUGAACCAGUACCGUGAGGGAAAGGCGAAAAGAACCCCGGCGAGGGGAGUGAAAAGGAACCUGAAACCGUGUACGUACAAGCAGUGGGAGCCUCUUUAUGGGGUGACUGCGUACCUUUUGUAUAAUGGGUCAGCGACUUAUAUUCUGUAGCAAGGUUAACCGUAUAGGGGAGCCGAAGGGAAACCGAGUCUUAACUGGGCGUUAAGUUGCAGGGUAUAGACCCGA